rnacentral:rRNA from 1 species
AAUGAAUGCUGGCGGCAUGCCUAACACAUGCAAGUCGAACGAGACCUUCGGGUCUAGUGGCGCACGGGUGCGUAACGCGUGGGAAUCUGCCCUUGGGUUCGGAAUAACUCGCCGAAAGGCGUGCUAAUACCGGAUGAUGACGUAAGUCCAAAGAUUUAUCGCCCAAGGAUGAGCCCGCGUAGGAUUAGCUAGUUGGUGGGGUAAAGGCCCACCAAGGCGACGAUCCUUAGCCGGUCUGAGAGGAUGAUCAGCCACACUGGGACUGAGACACGGCCCAGACUCCUACGGGAGGCAGCAGUGGGGAAUAUUGGACAAUGGGCGAAAGCCUGAUCCAGCAAUGCCGCGUGAGUGAUGAAGGCCUUAGGGUUGUAAAGCUCUUUUACCCGGGAUGAUAAUGACAGUACCGGGAGAAUAAGCCCCGGCUAACUCCGUGCCAGCCGCCGCGGUAA